rnacentral:misc_RNA from 1 species
AAGUCGUAACAAGGUUUCCGUAGGUGAACCUGCGGAAGGAUCAUUAACACGUAUCCAAAGAUUUGGGACCUCUGUGCGCGUGAGAAAAACUGACAGCGAUUCAUAGAAGCGGUAGGUCAAGUGACACGGCGUCCCCAAGUGACCAGUGAAUGAAAGUGUCGCUGGAGCGUCAAGGACGACUCUUCAAGAUUGCUAGAGGUCGACCACCGACCGGCUUCCGUGUAUACUGAGCUUAACAUCUAAGCAUCCAUACGGAUGGGCCCCCCGAACAACUGUUAACAAUGGAUAUCUUGGUUCUC